rnacentral:RNase_P_RNA from 1 species
UGGGUCGACAAGACGGUCGCGUCGUCCGUCAGGCCGUAAGGAACCGACGGGUGCCGAGGAACGUCCGGGCUCCACAGAGCGGGGCGGUGGGUAACCCCCACCCGGAGUAAUCCGCGAGACAGUGCAACAGAGAGUAAACCGCCACGGGCUUCGGCCCGAGGUAAGGGUGAAACGGUGGUGUAAGAGACCACCAGCGAUUCGGGUGACCGAUCGGCUAGGUAAACCUCGCCCGGAGCAAGGUCAGACAGGGAACGCUAAGGCUGCUCGCCGAGUUCCCGGGUAGACCGCUAGAGGGCUGCGGCAACGUAUCCCCGAGAUAGAUGGCCGUCCACGGUCGCGCAUCGCAAGAUGAGUGGCUGAGACAGAACCCGGCGUAAUAGUCGGCCCAUUCG